UAAAAGAAUUUAAAAAAAAAAAAAAAAAAGAGCCAUAGGAAAAGGCCCACCCUAAAUGCACAUCAAAGGACGUAACAGAAGGAAAACUAUCAAUCUGAGAAAAGAAACUAGUACAUAACUGCCAACUGACAAAAUGAGACUUCCUGUCAAAAAAGGAAAGAGAAAAGGACCUGUAAAAACCCUUGGAGGUCUUUACCAGUGCGCACUGGAAGGAACCGUCCUGCGGCUGUUGCCCUUUGGCCCCGGCCCUUCAGUCCCACGUGCCACCUUGCAACCGGGCCGCCUUUCUGCACCUCACACUCACACUCGCCAGGCUCCUGCUCACACCGGCAACUUCACAUUUUGAGUUCCUUUUUCUGGGCCUGCUAAGAUCCCAGGUCAGGUGUCAACUCCUUGGCAAUUUGUUUACUUGUGUCUUGUCUGUGUCCCGCUAACUACAGUGUAAAGUCCAUGAGGAAAAUAAACGUGAUCUUUCCAAUUGAACACAGUGUUUUCGCUUUGGGAAGCAUGAAGCAGUCUCUCAACAAAUAGUAGUUGAAUGAAUGAAAGAAUACUCAAUCUGAAGCAUCUUGACAAG